CACACGGUGGGUGGUGUUAGUCUGAAGAUACCGCCACCAAAACCGAUUCAGCAGUAACGGAAACGGCACCUUUGGCUGUCAGCUGCUGUAUUUGUACAUGUAUGGACAGUGUGCAUGUAGGCCCUGAUGGCAGUGAUCUCUCAGACAGUGAUGAUGAUCCCACGACCUUCACCAGGAGAAGCAGGGAGUGAAGAGACAGAAAUCAGGAGGGUCGGAAAACAAGAUACAUACUCAGUCGGCUUCCAGAAGUGUCCGGGAUGAGACAGCCUGCGGUUCAGCUUGGGAAGCCUCUCCAGCAUGCCUGCCAGCUGGGUGAACG